UCACCCCUCAAGCCCUGUGCUUGGUGUUGGACGGCUUGGUGGAGCUUCGGCUCGGCCCCUCCCAAAGACAAUGACGGCGGCCUGUGGUUCCCCCGGUACACUGAGCUUUUCACGGAGCACGUACUGGACAAAAGGGCGCCCGGGUCACGGUCCUCUCCCUUCAUGGGAAAACUUUUUAACUA
rnacentral:misc_RNA from 1 species